AUGGUGUGGCCGGCAGCAAGGCUUGUGCUCGUCCUCGUCACUUUGCUCACGCUUUGGAGCAGCGACGUUGCCGUUGCAUCGCCGUUGGCGGCGUCGGUGCGGGUCGGCGUGGUGCUGGACCUGACGAGCGUGGGGAGGGAGAGGCGCGCUUGCAUUUCCAUGGCGUUGGACGACUUCCAUGCCGCUCAUGCCGGCUCCGGUGCCACGUGGAUCGAGCUGCUCCUACGAGACUCGCGCGGGGAUCUUGCCACGGCUGCACAUGCUGGGCUCAAUUUGAUUGUUUCUCAUCACAAGUUUAGAUUUCAAGGUGUAUUAAAUAAUUAA
rnacentral:rRNA from 1 species